UUGAUCUUUACCGUUGUUGGAACACAGAGUGCUAAUUACUAGACUCAUUUGCCGUGAUUCACAUACGUGUCCGGUCGACGCUUAUCCAUCCCGAAUCUUGAUCUUUCCACGUUGGAGAGUCUCGCUUUGAUGAUUUUUAUUUUUUGCGCUGUGAUGAAAUUUGGAUAAUGAUUAAAUGAAAUGUUCCACAAAUGUACGCACGGAGAGAGAUAGAUACGUCACCGUUUAAGAUAAAUCUUUAACGCUGUUCACGGCAGCGCAUUGUGCAUGUGCGCCUUUGGUUGUUGGGUCUCCUUCCAAUGCCAUGUCUGAAAACUCGUCCAAUCAUGUGAUUUUCACAUGCUGCUUAAAAGAGAUAGAUGAAAUAAUAAACAUGAUCGGGCUCUGAUGAACUAAAUUAUUUCUUAUUUUUUAUUUAAUUUGGAGCUGGCAUAUUAUGAUAACUAUUAAUAGCCAAUCCACAAUUCCGUAACAGUUUUACAUAAGUUGUGUAACACAUGACCUUGCUAUGUCACAGCUUCUGCAAGUAACAUACCCAAUGGGAAUCCCCCACGCGUGUUGGUGCCGAUGCAACCAGGCCAAGGCAGCUGUCGCCGAGACUGUUAGUUGCAGCUUCUGCAACCUAGCCUUGUCCGUGAAACACAAUGUAAUUAGCCUUAUAAUAAUUCAGUAAUUG
rnacentral:lncRNA from 1 species